GGACAACACGAAGCCCAGGCGCCCUGAAUGGAAGCUUGAGCGAGGAAAAUUGACGUCCACCGCUUGGGCGACCUCUCUAGAUGCUUGGGCGACGGGGUCUCGAAGCUUGGGCGCCCUAUUUGGAGGCCCAAGCUUUACAUGAGGUCUUUUCACCGCCCGGGUGCCUAAAGUGGGGCGCUUGAGCAUCGGGUUUCGUGGAUCAGGCCCAAUUUCUACUCUGUUUCGACUCUAUUGGACAAGGUCCUGUUUUUCCUCGUUUUUUACUGUAUUUAAAGGACCCUGGGGCUCUAGGUUUUGUAUCUCUGGUAGAGAAGAGCGCAACAAUAUACUCUUUUCCCAAUUCUUAGGCUUUCUUUGUCC
rnacentral:lncRNA from 1 species